ACCAGGUCUUGACAUCUUGCGCCAACCCUAGAGAUAGGGCUGUUUCCUUCGGGAACGCAAUGACAGGUGGUGCAUGGUCGUCGUCAGCUCGUGUCGUGAGAUGUUGGGUUAAGUCCCGCAACGAGCGCAACUCUUGUUACUAGUUGCCAGCAUUAAGUUGGGCACUCUAGUGAGACUGCCGGUGACAAACCGGAGGAAGGA
rnacentral:rRNA from 1 species